rnacentral:rRNA from 1 species
UUCUGGUUGAUCCUGCCGGAGGCGACCGCUAUUGGAGUUCGAUUAAGCCAUGCGAGUCUAGAGGCUUAGGCCUCGGCGUACCGCUCAGUAACACGUGGAUAACCUGCCCUGUUCAGGGGGAUAACCUCGCGAAAGUGAGAAUAAUACCCCAUAGUUCACCAUGCCUGGAACGGUUGGUGGAUGAAAGCUCAGGCGGAACAGGAUGGGUCUGCGGCGUAUCAGGUAGUAGGGGGUGUAAUGGACCUCCUAGCCAUCGACGCGUACGGGUUGUGGGAGCAAUCGCCCGGAGAUGGAUUCUGAGACACGAAUCCAGACCCUACGGGGUGCAGCAGGCGCGAAAACUUGACAAUGCGAGAAAUCGUGAUCAGGGAACUCCAAUUGUCUCCGUUUUUACGGAGUUCUGAAUUGACUCUAAACAGGUCGAGUAAUAGGGGCGGGAAAUAUCGGUGCCAGCCGCCGCGGUAAUACCGAAGCCCCAAGUGGUCGUCGUUCUUAUUGGGCCUAAAACGUCCGUAGCCGGUUUGGUACAUUCGUGGGUAAAUCAGACAGCUUAACUGUCUGAAUUCUGCGAGCACGGCCAAACUUGAGACCGGGAGAGGUGUAGGGUACCUGCGGGGUAGGGGUAAAAUCCUGUCAUCCCGUAGGGACCACCAGUUGCGAAGGCUCUACACUAGAACGGAUCUGACGGUCAGGGACGAAGCCUAGGGGCACGAACCGGAUUAGAUACCCGGGUAGUCCUAGGUGUAAACGCUGUGGACUUUGUGUCGGGGAUUCUUCGAGGAUUCUCGGUGCCGGAGUGAAGAUGUUAAGUCCACUGCCUGGGGAGUACGGUCGCAAGGCUGAAACUUAAAGGAAUUGGCGGGGGAGCACUGCAACGAGAGGAGCGUGCGGUUUAAUUA